CCUACGGGUGGCAGCAGUAGGGAAUAUUGCUCAAUGGGGGAAACCCUGAAGCAGCCACGCCGCGUGGAGGAUGAAGGUCUUCGGAUUGUAAACCCCUUUUGUUAGAGAAGAUAAUGACGGUAUCUAACGAACAAGCACCGGCCAACUCCGUGCCAGCAGCCGCGGUAACACGGGGGGUGCAAGCGUUACUCGGAAUCACUGGGCGUAAAGAGCGCGUAGGCGGGAUAGCAAGUCAGCUGUGAAAUCCGAUGGUCUAACCACAGAACUGCAUUUGAAACUGUUAUUCUUGAGUGUGGGAGAGGUAGGUGGAAUGCUUGGUGUAGGGGUAAAAUCCGUAGAGAUCAAGAAGAAUACUCAUUGCGAAGGCGACCUGCUGGAACAUAACUGACGCUGAUGCGCGAAAGCGUGGGGAGCGAACAGGAUUAGAUACCCUAGUAGUC
rnacentral:rRNA from 1 species